GAUGAACGCUGGCGGCGUGCCUAAUACAUGCGAGUCGAGCGAACAGACGAGGAGCUUGCUCCUCUGACGUUAGCGGCGGACGGGUGAGUAACACGUGGAUAACCUACCUAUAAGACUGGGAUAACUUCGGGAAACCGGAGCUAAUACCGGAUAAUAUAUUGAACCGCAUGGUUCAAUAGUGAAAGACGGUUUUGCUGUCACUUAUAGAUGGAUCCGCGCCACAUUAGCUAGUUGGUAAGGUAACGGCUUACCAAGGCAACGAUGCGUAGCCGACCUGAGAGGGUGAUCGGCCACACUGGAACUGAGACACGGUCCAGACUCCUACGGGAGGCAGCAGUAGGGAAUCUUCCGCAAUGGGCGAAAGCCUGACGGAGCAACGCCGCGUGAGUGAUGAAGGUCUUCGGAUCGUAAAACUCUGUUAUUAGGGAAGAACAAAUGUGUAAGUAACUAUGCACGUCUUGACGGUACCUAAUCAGAAAGCCACGGCUAACUACGUG
rnacentral:rRNA from 1 species